GCUCGUUUAGCUCAGUCGGUAGAGCGCACGGCUGUUAACCGUUAGGUCGUAGGUUCGAGUCCUACAACGAGCGCCA
rnacentral:tRNA from 3 species